rnacentral:rRNA from 1 species
UACGAAGGGGGCUAGCGUUGCUCGGAAUUACUGGGCGUAAAGCGCACGUAGGCGGCUUUCUAAGUCGGGGGUGAAAUCCUGGAGCUCAACUCCAGAACUGCCUUCGAUACUGGAGAGCUCGAGUCCGGGAGAGGUGAGUGGAACUGCGAGUGUAGAGGUGAAAUUCGUAGAUAUCAGGAGGAACACCGGUGGCGAAGGCGGUGAUCUGGGCCGACACUGACGCUGUAGAGCGAAAGCGUGGGGAGCGAACAGG